rnacentral:rRNA from 1 species
GACGAACGCUGGCGGCGUGCUUAACACAUGCAAGUCGAACGGGCCCGCUCUCUUUUUUGGGGGUGGGUUGAGUGGCGAACGGGUGAGUAUCACGUGAGUAACCUGCCCCCUGCUCCUGGAUAACUGCUUGAAAGGGCGGCUAAUACGGGGUGUGCCGGCUGGUCCGCAUGGGCCUGGUCGGGAUAGUUUCAUCUUCGGGUGUUUCGGUGGGGGAUGGGCUCGCGGCCUAUGAGCUUGUUGGUGGGGGGAUGGCCCACCAGGGCGGUGACGGGUCGCCGGCCUGAGGGGGUGGGCGGCUCCACGGGGACGGGGACACGGCCCAGCCUCCUGCGGGAGGCAGCGGUGGGGGGUAUUGCACGAGGGGCGGAAGCCUGAUGCAGCGACGUCGCGUGAGGGAUGGGGGCCUUCGGGUUGUGAACCUCUUUCUCCGGUGGUGAAGGCCCUGUCCGUUGCGGCGGGGUUGACGGUAGCCGGGUAUGAAGCGCCGGCUAACUACGUG